rnacentral:rRNA from 1 species
UACGUAGGGGGCAAGCGUUAUCCGGAUUUACUGGGUGUAAAGGGGGCGCAGACGGCGAUGCAAGCCAGGAGUGAAAGCCCGGGGCCCAACCCCGGGACUGCCCUUGGAACUGCGCGGCUGGAGUGCAGGAGGGGCAGGCGGAAUUCCUGGUGUAGCGGUGAAAUGCGUAGAUAUCAGGAGGAACACCGGUGGCGAAGGCGGCCUGCUGGACUGCGACUGACGUUGAGGCUCGAAAGCGUGGGGAGCAAACAGG